rnacentral:lncRNA from 1 species
CCAGGAAUGCUGGGAAACGAGGAGAAACACUAUGCUUUUCACAGCAUCACAGACGCAAAGGGAGUGAUCUUGGGGACACCAGAACAGUCUGCUUGCAGAGAUUAGGAACAGGACAGCUUAUUCCAGUCAAACAGCGAGACUAAAAGUGAGUCUAAGGCUCCAGCCUCUCCAGAUUCCUCCUGGCCCACGCAUGAACAUGGUCUCCGUGGCCAUCGAUUCUUCUGAGCCCACCUCCUCCACGUGAGUACACACGCUUGUCUACCUAUGGUCUGUGAAAGUGCACAGACUUUGGGUCAAACAGAUUUGAGUGUAGAGUCUGGCUUAGAAUUCCAGACCCAGCUCUUCUUCACUGUGUGAUUUGGGGCAAAAUAACCUGGCCUCUGGAAGCCUGAGUUUUUCAUCUGUAAAAUGAAAGCAGCACUAUUUUUCACUACGAUGUGCCAGCACACCACCCAUCUAGACCCUAAACAAGGUGGACCCCAGCUGGCUCCCUGGUGACCAGCUCCAAAAUGCCUUCCUUUGGACUUCACGUUCUGUGAGAGAACGCAAACCCUGACAUCUGGUUUCAUCCAGUUCCUUAGCUUUUCAGUGACAGGCAGCUGAACUCAAUUGUUAAUUGACUGAUCUCCAUUGCAUAGGGUUACUGUGAAGCGCAUAUGAGAUCACAGCUGUUAAAGUGCCAAACCACGUGACUUAUUUAGGACUCCUGACUUUCCUAAUGUUGCAUGGAGGAUAUUUAAUCAUAAAACAGUUAAAUCUGGCAUAGUGGGCUACCAAGAAGAAGGCAGGGUUCCGCUUACCAUACUGAGAGAGGGAUUGAGGCAGAAACUCCCUGGAACUAUGGGCAGCAACAAAGGAGGGAGGGCAGGUCACCUGUGCAGAAGAACAUGCACACACACAGGCAUGCACACAUAUUUGUACACGGGCACACUCAUCUGCACACACACAUGCACGCAUACGUGCACACCCUCCAGCACACAUGUGUUCAGAUCAUGCUCUCAUUUACACGUGCACACGGGCAUGCACACUCAUGCACAUGUACUGUUGACUCUAUCUUGAGCUUACACAUCAAAGCCACGAUCUGGUUCAGUACUUACUUGUUUAUUGAUAUUCCAUUUAGCAUUUACCAAGUACCUUCUAUGUAACUUGGCUAGGCAGUCUUUUUUUCUCAAACAAAAUCCAGUACAAAUCCUCCCUCAUCCAUGAAAUCUUUCUGGAUUCUCCAAUGGGAUUGAACUAAUCCUCAUAGAACUUUCCAUGUGCCCCUGCUUGUCACGAAUUUCAUUUACCUUCAGAGUAAAAUUGUUGCACAUACUUCUGUUUCCUUAAGUGGCUGUGGGAGCUGACAUUCUAGGCCCCAGUGAAAAGGUCUGGUCCUGAAACUGCGUCUCAGUUCUUGGCUUGAGAAAAGCACAGCUGGUUAGAAGUGCUUACACCACGGAGGCAUGAAGAGGACGUGAGGGUGGCUCAUUUUAAAAGCAAUGCGUUUAUCUUAUCUUCCAGUGCAGAGAGAGAGAGAAUCCCCUGCUUAGAGCACAGAAGCUGGUGCACCGUCCUGUGCCGCAUUGUCCUCUGGCUGCCUGCCUGGGGAGACCCCUCUCCCCUCUCCUUCCUGAACGCAGGCACGAGGAUUUGUACAUACGUGCACAUAAAUAUGGUAUUUCCCAGAGGGCCUGGCAUAAACAUUCUUAAUAUGUGCUUGUUAUAUUGCAGUGAACUAACACCCACAGUCAGUCAGGAAACAAAGUGCAUUGCAUGUUACCUGGGGAACAGUCAGCAGAACCUUGAUUUUACCU